UCCUCCCUCCUUUUUCUCUCUCUCUCUUCUCUUCUCUAGUACGUUGGCCAACACACACCCUCUAUCUCUCUGUGUCUGUCCUUGCCUUUCCUUGUGCUGUCUCCCUUUGUAAGACACGGGCAGGCAUGCUAGGUUUGCAUCCCCAGAGGCCAGAUCUCGGGAGCCAUGGAGAGGUAGGAGCGGAUGAAAAGCAUGCGGGGCAGCGGACGCUAAAGUGGAGCUGUGACUGUCUGUGUUUAUUCGGUCUCCAUUCGUCGAGUGGGGCUGAUGUAGAUGGGACUGGAGCGGGAGGCUGGGAUGAGGGCAAGAUUUAGCGCACGGUAGAUCUCUGUGUAGUGAUCGUUCUUGCUUGGCUUUAUUAGUUUGCAGAGGAAUCGUCCAGGAGCCCAACCGGACAAGAAUAUGGCAGAAGUGGACCUGAGCAGCCUGGACAUCCUUCUAAGGAGACACGAAUAGUCCUCAUGUUUCCGCUUUCUGCAUCACGGGCUAUGAGUAAGAGUACCAAGGAAAAUGAAGUCGCGCAUCAAAGUCUACUGCUCUGAUGCGAUGGAAAGCGAGCAAGAGCGUCGAGACUCUGACCAUUGUUGAUGCCACGCAAAAGCUGUCCAUCUGGAAGCCGAGGAGAUGCUGCUGUCAGCGAGAUAAGUGUCUGGUUUGCGGAGGGCUCUGCUCACGCCCAACCCGAGUCCAGGUAGGGAAGCCCAGUACGGUAAGGCUGGGUUUGUAUGAAAAGGUUCCUGACUAACUGUGGUCACGAGGGAGAAAAGGUCCCUGUUUUCAGAGGUUGCUCAUUUUUCUGGUCAGGAACAGUGUCUCCUGCACAGGGGGAGGUUGGAUCCAGGAGGAUGACUCAGGUGGUGAGUUGCUUGCUUUCCUCCCAUUUGUCUCUCCCUUCUCUAGUGUGUUGGCCAACUUUCUCACUCUCUUCCCUCUCCUCUCCUCGUGUCGUCUCACUUCCUAAGACACGGGCAGACAUGUUAGGUGCGCAUCCCUACAGGCUAGGUCUCGGGAUCCAUGGAGUAGCGGGAGCUGACGAAAAUCAUGCGUAGCAGUGGCUGUUGGUGUUAACUCUGUCUCUGUUGAUGGAGUGGGGCUGAGGUAGAUUGGGUUGGAGAGGGAUGCCAGGUUGAGGGCAAGAUUCGAAGCACCAGUAGAGCUUUGUGUAGUGAUGGCUCAUGCUUGGCUUUUGCAGCUGCUCUUCCAAAGCAAUUUUCCAGGAGUCCUAGACUGAGGAGAAAGUGGCAGAAGUGGACAUGAACAAUCCUCAGCUUUCUGACUCCCGCACAACUGGCUGCUCAUAUACACCCCUUGAACCAAAGGGACUUGCUCUUCACUGACUGACUAUGCCUGGCAGUGCAGGAAAUGGUCAACUGAAGGUAAUGUAUCUUUGGAAGAACUCAGGGUAAGUUUUUAAAGUGAAGAGGUCUGGUUAUGCUCGUGCUGGUUAAUCUUAAGUCUGUAUUAAUACUAUAGUUUAGUUAUAUUAGUAAAUUGUUGAAGUUGUUUAAAGAUUGUAAUAGUCAAUAGUUGAUCAAUAUAUAAUAACUGUAUAUGUUUUUGUGCCUUGCUGGGAAUGGGUACAGUGCUGGUGAACCUAGUAGCUUUGCAUGUCGCUGUGCCUGUCUUUUAUAUAAGUUACCAUCAUAAAAGUCAAUAAAUGCUUAUGAGUUGUUAUACAAAGUUAUAGGUAGGUUAAGGUUAGUAAAAUAUAGUUAGUCCAUGUAUUAAUAUUGCAUAUAGAAUUGUAUUUGUUGGGGUGGGUGCAGUACAUGUAAGGUUACUAGGCAAUCAGUAAUAGUAGCAUUGCAUGCGCUUGUAACUAUUUUCAAUAUUAUUUACCUUUUAUAUGUGCACUUAUAGGAAUAGGCAGUUAUUGCAUAAUAUUACUUGUACUUGUGCUUGUCUCCAGUAUAAUUUGCCAUUUGUAUUAAUCCUCACUCAGUGCUGGUCUUUAAUUCUGUUUUUCUUAUUCUAUCUGUGUUGCCUUUAUAGUCAUAAGUCAUUAAAAACCUUUCUGGAGGAAUAAUUAAUUGCUUAGUUUCUGUUUUGCAGACACUAUUCAGCCUCUUUACAUCUGUGUUGGGUGG